rnacentral:rRNA from 1 species
AUUGAACGCUGGCGGCAGGCCUAACACAUGCAAGUCGAGCGGAUGAAGGGAGCUUGCUCCUGGAUUCAGCGGCGGACGGGUGAGUAAUGCCUAGGAAUCUGCCUGGUCGUGGGGGAUAACGUCCGGAAACGGGCGCUAAUACCGCAUACGUCCUGAGGGUGAAAGUGGGGGAUCUUCGGACCUCACGCUAUCAGAUGAGACUAGGUCGGAUUAGCUAGUUGGUGGGGUAAAGGCCUACCAAGGCGACGAUCCGUAACUGGUCUGAGAGGAUGAUCAGUCACACUGGAACUGAGACACGGUCCAGACUCCUACGGGAGGCAGCAGUGGGGAAUAUUGGACAAUGGGCGAAAGCCUGAUCCAGCCAUGCCGCGUGUGUGAAGAAGGUCUUCGGAUUGUAAAGCACUUUAAGUUGGGAGGAAGGGCAGUAAGUUAAUACCUUGCUGCUUUGACGUUACCAACAGAAUAAGCACCGGCUAACUUCGUG